rnacentral:rRNA from 1 species
AAGUAAAAGUCGUAACAAGGGUUUCCGUAGGUGAACCUGCGGAAGGAUCAUUAUUKRAUAUACUUGAUGGGUUGUAGCUGGCUCUUCGGAGCAAUGUGCACACCUGUCUUGUUCCUUAUUCAUCCACCUGUGCACUUUCUGUAGUCUUCUAGGGAUUGAGAGUAGCCAACUAUCGAGUCUUCUCGGAUGUGAGGAAUGCUUGCGCCCAAAAGUGCAGCUUUCCUCAAAUGGUUGCGAACCUUUCCUGGAGUCUAUGUUUUCAUAUACCACAUAGUAUGUUUCAGAAUGUAUUCAAUGGGCCUUUUGUGCCUAUAAAUGAUCUAUACAACUUUCAGCAACGGAUCUCUUGGCUCUCGCAUCGAUGAAGAACGCAGCGAAAUGCGAUAAGUAAUGUGAAUUGCAGAAUUCAGUGAAUCAUCGAAUCUUUGAACGCACCUUGCGCUCCUUGGUAUUCCGAGGAGCAUGCCUGUUUGAGUGUCAUUAAAUUCUCAACCCCUCCAAUUUUUUCUGAUUGUGAUGGGGCUUGGAUAUGGAGGCUUGCUGGACUUUUAAAAGGGCCACUCCCCCUAAAAGGCUUAACCGAACCCUUUGGCAACCCUCCCCAGGGGGAAAAUUAAUCACCCCCGGGGGGCCCUCCUCGGCUGGUCCACUUGCCAUCCUCCUCCAUGGACAAUCAUAUUGAAUAUUUGACCUCAAAUCAGGUAGGACUACCCGCUGAACUUAAGCAUAU